CCCUACGGGGUGCCCCAGGCCGGAAUAGGUCAAGGACGGCAGGGUCCAUGCCUGCGAGGGAUUGUCAGCGGUGUAGACCUGUUCGGUGAUGUCGUUGACGAUCAGGGCCUCGCCGAGCAGAGAGGUGCCAUUCUGCCAGGACCGCAGGGUGGCCAAGCUGUUUUCCCGGUAUUUGUUGUUCUUGUCGACGAAGCCGCGACCGAAGGCCUCGGUGAAUUUUUCCUGACUGGCGGUAAAACCGGUCGCUCCGGGGUUGAACUCCCGGAGAGAAUCGAGGUCGGAGGCGAUGUCGAGAUCCAGCCGGGUUGUCCAGGCGCCGAUAUUCUGAUCUGCCUUGCCGCGAAUCCAGUAACGGUCGGCAUUGGUGUGGGUGAAUUGACCGUCUUCAUAGUACGCCACUUCCGAAGGGUCGGAGAGC
rnacentral:rRNA from 1 species